ACCAGCCUAUAUCACCCUCCAGCCCAAGACUGGUUGCCCACUGAAGCUAAGCAUGGUUGAGCCUGGUCAGUACCUGGAUGGGAGACCUCCUGGGAAAACUAGGUUGCUGCUGGAA
rnacentral:rRNA from 1 species